rnacentral:rRNA from 1 species
UACGGGGGGAGCAAGCGUUGUUCGGAUUUACUGGGCGUAAAGAGCGUGUAGGCGGCCAGGUAGGUCGGUUGUGAAAACUGGAGGCUCAACCUUCAGAGGUCGACCGAAACCAUCUGGCUAGAGUCCGGAAGAGGCGAGUGGAAUUCCUGGUGUAGCGGUGAAAUGCGCAGAUAUCAGGAGGAACACCGAUUGCGAAGGCAGCUCGCUGGGACGUUACUGACGCUGAGACGCGAAAGCGUGGGGAGCAAACAGG